rnacentral:lncRNA from 1 species
GCGUUCAAGACACUAUCCGAAAGGGUAAAUAAGGGUGAUGAGCACGACGCGUUUCGUGACAAAAAAAAAUGUCUAAAUAUUCCAUUACCGUACUUCGAAGCAUGUCAACCGCUGUUUAAACAUCAAUUUUUAUGCCAUUUUUCUCAUAAAAAAAGCGAUAAUAUUCCGGCCGGGAAAAUCGUCUUUUAGUACAAAGAGAGAGAAAGUAAAAGCAUGGGAUCCCCUCGUGCACGAGCCUCAGUCUGAUGUCCCUCUGAUCGACCACCAUCCAAACGCGCUAAAUGUGUUUCAGCCUGGGGCUGGAAUUACAUCGUUCAGCUUUUUCCCGCCUUCUGAGAGCCCAUGGGAGCCGUAGGAAGUGUCACGUUACGGCAAAGAUCCUCAGUCUUCAAUAAACAGAGUCAAGAAGCUCAAGGAAUGGUCAGACAGGCCAUUUCCUGUAAGGAAUCUUCUCAGGUUUUUGCCUGCCAUAUGAGGUCUGUUAUACUCACAGACACCAUUCAGUUUUAGAAACUUUAGGGUGUUUUCUAUCCAAAGCCAAUAAUUAUAUGCAUAUUCUAGUUACUGGGCAGGAGUAGUAACCAGAUUAAAUCGGGUACGUUUUUAUCCGGCCGUGCAAAUACUGCCCCCUAUCCCCAACAGGUUAACAAGACAGGUAUCAAAAUUAUUGGCACCCUGUGGUGCUGUCAGGGGCCAACCCUCCUACCACGCCCUCACCAGCACCACAAGCCAUGUCAUUCGCUCUUGAACGCGCCCAUUGGCUUGAAAAUGAAAGUCUUUGACCUGCUCAUUUUAAUGCAACCUACGACGACUUGAUCAGAGCCUACAACUAUAUAAUUUAUCUGCGAUCCCAGAGAUUUGCCAAGGAUCCCAAAUCCUUGUAAUCAAAUGUAAAAUCACAUGUUUUAAUGUUGGUCCUUUGUCCAGUAUCUCAGUUGGUAGAGCAUGGCAUUGGUAUCACUAGGGUAGUGGGUUCAAUUACCAGGACCUCCCAUAUGAUAAAUGUGUCCACUCAUCACUGUAAAAGUGUGUGCAAAGCUGUCAUCAAGACAAAGGGUGGCUACUUCAAAAGAAUCUAAAAUAUAUUUUGAUUUGUUUAACACUUUUUUGGGUUACUACAUGAUUCCAUCUGUGUUAUUUCAUAGGUUUGAUGUCUUCACUAUUAUUCUACAAUGUAGAAAAUAGUUUAAAAAUAAUGAAAAACCCUUGAAUGAGUAGGUGUUCUAAAACUUUUGUCCGGCAGCGUAUAUGUGAAGUGGGUAAAACAGUAUGUAAACAUGAUUAAAGUGACCAUUGUUCAAUGACUCAUAGGGCAGCAGUCUCUAAGGUGCAGGGUAGAGUACCAGGUGGUAGCCGACUGUUAACAGGGACUAAAGUUCAUGGCAGGGUACUGGGUGGAGGCUGGCUAAUGGUGACUAUUUAACAGUCUGAUGGCCUUGAGGUAGAAAAUGUUUUUCAGUCUCUCUGUCCCAGCUUUGAUGUUAUUGUACUGUCUCCUCCUUCUAGAUGGUAGAGGGGUGAACAGGCCGUGGCUCGGGUGGCUGAGGUCCUUGAUGAUCUUCUAGAUGGUAGCAGGGUGAACAGGCCGUGGCUCGGGUGGCUGAGGUCCUUGAUGAUCUUCUAGAUGGUAGAGGGGUGAACAGGCUGUGGCUCGGGGUGGCUGAGGUCCUUGAUGAUCUUCUAGAUGGUAGAGGGGUGAACAGGCUGUGGCUCGGGGUGGCUGAGGUCCUUGAUGAUCUUCUAGAUGGUAGAGGGGUGAACAGACUGUGGCUCGGGGUGGCUGAGGUCCUUGAUGAUCUUCUAGAUGGUAGAGGGGUGAACAGGCUGUGGCUCGGGGUGGCUGAGGUCCUUGAUGAUCUUCUAGAUGGUAGCAGGGUGAACAGGCCGUGGCUCGGGGUGGCUGAGGUCAUUGAUGAUCUUGAUUUUGUGCCUUGCGAACUCCGCCUCCAGCAAGAGAUCAACCUCUGACAGUGUGCCAGAAGAAACGGGAGGAUGGAGCCAAAAGAAAUGGACGGUGAGUGGAUCUAAACUCAUGGAGCUUUUCCAAACCUGCCAGCAGGUGGAGCUGUCGUGACUGAUAGAAGAACCACCACUUGCUGUUUAACCUGUCAAGGUAUAGGGGGCAGUAUUUUCGAUUUCGGAUGAAAAGCGUGCCCAGAGUAAACAGCCUAAUACUCGGGCCCAGAGUCAGAUAUUUGCAUAUUAUUAGUAGAUUUGGAUAGAAAACACUCUGAAGUUUCUAAAACUGUUUGAAUGGUGUCUGUGAGUAUAACAGAACUCAUAUGGCAGGCCAAAACCUGAGAAGACACAUCCUUUUCACUGGAUACAUACAGGGAAAUUGCUGAUUGGGUCACACUGCUGAACCUCCAGGUGCCCAAGACAACAACCUUCUAGGAAAUACAGUUACAUGCUUCCAGUUAUUGGGAAAGGGAAAUGGGGAUACCUAGUCAGUUGGAAAGGGAAAUGGGGGAUACCUAGUCAGUUGGAAAGGGAAAUGGGGAUACC